rnacentral:lncRNA from 1 species
GAGUUAUUUCUGCUGUCAAGAUUUGCUCUGAUGGAAUAUGGGUAUAAAUGUCCCUCCGACCUGAGACCACCACGGUGACUUGCAAGCAACUCACUGCACUUAGGCACUGGACUACCUGAAUUUUUAAUUCAGUGACGGAAGGCUGCUGGGUGUAGUCAAGUACUUGACUUGUCGGUGCGUGUGUCAAGAUAGGAUUGACCACUCCAGUUUAGG